GGAUGAACGCGGCGGCGUGCCUAAUACAUGCAAGUAGAACGCUGAAGGAGGAGCUUGCUUCUCUGGAUGAGUUGCGAACGGGUGAGUAACGCGUAGGUAACCUGCCUGGUAGCGGGGGAUAACUAUUGGAAACGAUAGCUAAUACCGCAUAAGAGCAGUUGUUGCAUGACAGCUGUUUAAAAGGUGCAAUUGCACCACUACCAGAUGGACCUGCGUUGUAUUAGCUAGUUGGUGAGGUAACGGCUCACCAAGGCGACGAUACAUAGCCGACCUGAGAGGGUGAUCGGCCACACUGGGACUGAGACACGGCCCAGACUCCUACGGGAGGCAGCAGUAGGGAAUCUUCGGCAAUGGGGGCAACCCUGACCGAGCAACGCCGCGUGAGUGAAGAAGGUUUUCGGAUCGUAAAGCUCUGUUGUAAGAGAAGAACGAGUGUGAGAGUGGAAAGUUCACACUGUGACGGUAUCUUACCAGAAAGGGACGGCUAACUACGUGCCAGCAGCCGCGGUAAUACGUAGGUCCCGAGCGUUAUCCGGAUUUAUUGGGCGUAAAGCGAGCGCAGGCGGUUAGAUAAGUCUGAAGUUAAAGGCUGUGGCUUAACCAUAGUACGCUUUGGAAACUGUUUAACUUGAGUGCAAGAGGGGAGAGUGGAAUUCCAUGUGUAGCGGUGAAAUGCGUAGAUAUAUGGAGGAACACCGGUGGCGAAAGCGGCUCUCUGGCUUGUAACUGACGCUGAGGCUCGAAAGCGUGGGGAGCAAACAGG
rnacentral:rRNA from 1 species